rnacentral:lncRNA from 1 species
CCUCUACCACCACGACCACGACCACGACACAGAGGAAUGCAUCCAGCUCCAGGACGAGAUCGAGGAGCUCAUUCGGCGAGGUCGACUUGACAGAUUCAUCCACCGCAGGCCUGAGGGUAGGGGAGACCGUCCAAGAGCCCUUCCACAGCCUGAACCGCCGAGAAGGGAGGAGCAACCCGGGGACCAGCCUCCCAUCGGGACCAUCGACUCCAUCACCGGAGGGCCUCAAGGAGGAGCGGGCCACCCGCGACCGAGGAGCUCGGAAAACCUGUAAAUGUAUCACUUACGAUUUUGCCUUGAAUCUAAUUUUCUUUCUACUUAACGUGCUCUUCCCAUCUGGCGUGGAUUUAUUAUGACUGGAUACGACCCCACCGAACGUUUAAAACACAGCCAUGUCAGGAACAGGAGGAGAACCUCAUCCUGACAUGAGCAAAGUCAAAGGCCCGAUUCUUUAGACCGGAUGGGGGGAGAAGGCCUUACAACGCCCUAAUGUGCCCCCACAGCCAUGUCAGGAACAGGAGGAGAACCUCGUCCUGACAUGAGCAAAGUCGAAGGCCCGAUUCUUUUAGACCGGAUGGGGGG